rnacentral:rRNA from 1 species
UGAACGCUAGCUACAGGCUUAACACAUGCAAGUCGAGGGGCAGCAUGGUCUUAGCUUGCUAAGGCCGAUGGCGACCGGCGCACGGGUGAGUAACACGUAUCCAACCUGCCGUCUACUCUUGGACAGCCUUCUGAAAGGAAGAUUAAUACAAGAUGGCAUCAUGAGUCCGCAUGUUUACAUGAUUAAAGGUAUUCCGGUAGACGAUGGGGAUGCGUUCCAUUAGAUAGUAGGCGGGGUAACGGCCCACCUAGUCUUCGAUGGAUAGGGGUUCUGAGAGGAAGGUCCCCCACAUUGGAACUGAGACACGGUCCAAACUCCUACGGGAGGCAGCAGUGAGGAAUAUUGGUCAAUGGGCGAGAGCCUGGACCAGCCAAGUAGCGUGAAGGAUGACUGCCCUAUGGGUUGUAAACUUCUUUUAUAAAGGAAUAAAGUCGGGUAUGGAUACCCGUUUGCAUGUACUUUAUGAAUAAGGAUCGGCUAACUCCGUGCCAGCAGCCGCGGUAAUACGGAGGAUCCGAGCGUUAUCCGGAUUUAUUGGGUUUAAAGGGAGCGUAGAUGGAUGUUUAAGUCAGUUGUGAAAGUUUGCGGCUCAACCGUAAAAUUGCAGUUGAUACUGGAUAUCUUGAGUGCAGUUGAGGCAGGCGGAAUUCGUGGUGUAGCGGUGAAAUGCUUAGAUAUCACGAAGAACUCCGAUUGCGAAGGCAGCCUGCUAAGCUGCAACUGACAUUGAGGCUCGAAAGUGUGGGUAUCAAACAGGAUUAGAUACCCUGGUAGUCCACACGGUAAACGAUGAAUACUCGCUGUUUGCGAUAUACUGCAAGCGGCCAAGCGAAAGCGUUAAGUAUUCCACCUGGGGAGUACGCCGGCAACGGUGAAACUCAAAGGAAUUGACGGGGGCCCGCACAAGCGGAGGAACAUGUGGUUUAAUUCGAUGAUACGCGAGGAACCUUACCCGGGCUUAAAUUGCAGAUGAAUUACGGUGAAAGCCGUAAGCCGCAAGGCAUCUGUGAAGGUGCUGCAUGGUUGUCGUCAGCUCGUGCCGUGAGGUGUCGGCUUAAGUGCCAUAACGAGCGCAACCCUUGUUGUCAGUUACUAACAGGUUCCGCUGAGGACUCUGACAAGACUGCCAUCGUAAGAUGUGAGGAAGGUGGGGAUGACGUCAAAUCAGCACGGCCCUUACGUCCGGGGCUACACACGUGUUACAAUGGGGGGUACAGAGGGCCGCUACCACGCGAGUGGAUGCCAAUCCCCAAAACCUCUCUCAGUUCGGACUGGAGUCUGCAACCCGACUCCACGAAGCUGGAUUCGCUAGUAAUCGCGCAUCAGCCACGGCGCGGUGAAUACGUUCCCGGGCCUUGUACACACCGCCCGUCAAGCCAUGGGAGCCGGGGGUACCUGAAGUGCGUAACCGCGAGGAGCGCCCUAGGGUAAAACUGGUGACAGG